CCAAGCGAAAGCUUUAAGCAUCCCACCUGGGGAGUACGCCGGCAACGGUGAAACUCAAAGGAAUUGACGGGGGCCCGCACAAGCGGAGGAACAUGUGGUUUAAUUUUAUGAUAUCGCGAGGAACCUUACCCGGGCUUGAAUUGCAGAUGACGGAUCCAGAGAUGGUGACUUCCUUCGGGACAUCUGUGAAGGUGCUGCAUGGUUGGCGUCAGCUCGUGCCGUGAGCGGGCGGCUUAAGUGCCAUUAACGAGCGCGACCCCUUUCGGCAGUUGCCAUCGGGUAAUGCCGGGCACUCUGGCGACACUGCCGCCGCAAGGUGUGAGGAAGGUGGGGAUGACGUCAAAUCAGCACGGCCCUUACGUCCGGGGCUACACACGUGUUACAAUGGGGCAUACAGAGAGUU
rnacentral:rRNA from 1 species